AAGUCAACAGAUAUUUUCCCAUGCUGAGUCUCAUCUGUGGUAAUAAGUGCCACACGUGUGUCGACGGUGAGCUUACCUCGAACGACGACCAGAGAGAGGUCGGUGACCCCCAAGUCGGUGACCGAAAACAGAGUUCCAGUAGACAUUUAAGAGAAUUUUCCAUUUUGCCCUACAGAGGAAAUUGAGGUACCCCAUAGUGAUCCAAAAGGUUUUGAGUCCAUGCGAAGCACGACUUCCAGGGCCCCAGUGCAGCCACCCCAAGUUGUUUUUGCAAAAACUCGAAAGAUAUUUUAGUGUCAAUCUAAAUGGUUUCGUGUAACAGCCGUCUCUUACCUUAGCUGUGUUAGCGGAAGCGGAGGAUCUCGUCCACGAUUGACGACCCAGCGUUAGGCGCGAGAAGAGACAAGGGAAGUCGGGAUUCGAAGACAUACGUCGAGAACGGUGACAGCAAGGUCUUGAACCCUGAACACUAGUUUAGUGAUACAGAAGUGUCUGGCCGAAGCACUUCACCUGGGUGGCUUAAAUGCGGCCCACCUGCCGCCAUCUCCAUUCCUGGAGUCUUGGUGUCGUACGCUAGGUUGUGAUAGCGUACC
rnacentral:lncRNA from 1 species